UAGGGAAUCUUCGGCAAUGGACGAAAGUCUGACCGAGCAACGCCGCGUGAGUGAAGAAGGUUUUCGGAUCGUAAAACUCUGUUGUUAGAGAAGAACAAGGACGUUAGUAACUGAACGUCCCCUGACGGUAUCUAACCAGAAAGCCACGGCUAACUACGUGCCAGCAGCCGCGGUAAUACGUAGGUGGCAAGCGUUGUCCGGAUUUAUUGGGCGUAAAGCGAGCGCAGGCGGUUUCUUAAGUCUGAUGUGAAAGCCCCCGGCUCAACCGGGGAGGGUCAUUGGAAACUGGGAGACUUGAGUGCAGAAGAGGAGAGUGGAAUUCCAUGUGUAGCGGUGAAAUGCGUAGAGAUCUGGAGGAAUACCGGUGGCGAAGGCGGCCCCCUGGACGAAGCCUGACGCUCAGGUGCGAAAGCGUGGGGAGCAAACAGG
rnacentral:rRNA from 1 species